rnacentral:rRNA from 1 species
AACGAACGCUGGCGGCAUGCCUAACACAUGCAAGUCGAACGAGACCUCCGGGUCUUGUGGCGCACGGGUGCGUAACGCGUGGGAACCUGCCCUUAGGUUCGGAAUAACUCUCCGAAAGGGGUGCUAAUACCGGAUAAUGUCUUCGAACCAAAGAUUUAUCGCCCUAGGUGGGGCCCGCGUUGGAUUAGCUAGUUGGGAGGGUAAAAGCCUACUAAGGGGACGAUCCAUAGCUGGGAAGGGAGAAUGAUCAGCGACACUGGGACUGGGACGCGGCCCGGAAUCCUACGGGAGGCAGCAGUGGGGGAUAGAGGAAAAUGGGGGGAGGCCUGAUGGAGCACGGCCGGGAAAGUGAUGAAGGCCUUAGAGAUGUAAAGCUCUUUUAACCGGGAUGGUAAUGACGGUACCGGGAGAAUAAGCCCCGGCUAACUACGUG